GUCUCUUAAUUGGAGUCUGGUAUGAAUGGUUGGAUGAAAAAUUUACUUUCUUUAUUUUAAAAACUUAAAUUAAUUUCUGAUUUAAAAAGUUUAGAUUUAAUUAAAGGACGAGAAGACCCUAUAGAACUUUACUCUUUUUUUAGUAAUUACUUAUUUGAUAAUAAUUGGUCCUUAUUUCAAAAAUGGGUUUUGUUGGGGUGACAAAAAAAAAUGAAUAACUUUUUUUAUUUAUUUCAUUUAUGUAUGUUUAAAUUUGAUCCUUUACUAUGGAUAAUAAGAUUUAGUUACCUUAGGGAUAACAGCGUUAUCAUUUCAGAAAGUUCAUAUCUAUGAAAUGGGUUGCGACCUCGAUGUUGGAUUAAAAUUAGUGCCAGGGGCAGAAUAUUGGUUACUAGGUCUGUUCGACCUUUAAUUUUUUACA
rnacentral:rRNA from 1 species